rnacentral:ncRNA from 1 species
GCAAAUAAAAGGCAAAACCGAUGAAAAUCGGCGGCGCAAAGCACGAGCCUAAGCUCUGAAUUUUCAAGGUACGGCGGUCGGGCUGCAUUU